rnacentral:rRNA from 1 species
CCUACGGGGGGCUGCAGUGGGGAAUAUUGGGCAAUGGGCGCAAGCCUGACCCAGCAACGCCGCGUGAAGGAAGAAGGCCCUCGGGUUGUAAACUUCUUUUAUCAGGGACGAAGCCAGUGACGGUACCCGAUGAAUAAGCCACGGCUAACUACGUGCCAGCAGCCGCGGUAAUACGUAGGUGGCAAGCGUUAUCCGGAUUUACUGGGGGUAAAGGGCGUGUAGGCGGGAAAGUAAGUCGGCUGUGAAAUCCAUGGGCUCAACCUGUGGCCUGCAUUUGAAACUGUUUUUCUUGAGUACUGGAGAGGCAGGCGGAAUUCCUAGUGUAGCGGUGAAAUGCGUAGAUAUUAGGAGGAACAUCAGGGGCGAAGGCGGUCUGCUGGACAGCAACUGACGCUGAGGCGCGAAAGCGUGGGGAGCAAACAGGAUUAGAUACCCCGGUAGUC